CACAUCAUGUGUAAACUGAAUUCUGGUCAGUAGCUCGAGUCAUUUCUGUAGCCAACCCUUUUCUAUAAAGUACUUACAAAUAGAAAAAUUGCCCAGAUCAAAUUUCACUUCCUUUCUAGGAUUCUGCCUGAGUAGGGAGGGAAGAAUAAAGGCCCGGGUUAUCCAGAAACUAGUAAACUGCUCUCUGAUGAGAGCUGAUGGUAUCUUGUUGAAGGCAAUGCAAAUAAGAUUAUAGUUGAUGUUUGCAUUGCCUAUCUUCAUAUUUUCUGGAAUUUUUCUAUAUCUACUCAUCAGGAAAACAAAAAGUAAUAUGCUCUUAUUAAGAAGGCAAAUUGUGUCUGG
rnacentral:lncRNA from 1 species